rnacentral:rRNA from 1 species
GGUGUGUACUGGUCUUGAUGGAAGCUUACCUCUUGGUGGGUCGGCAUGCCCUUCGUUGGGUGUGUCGAUUAACCAGGACUUUUACUUUGAGAAAAUUAGAGUGUUCAAAGCAGGCUUUCGCCCGAAUACAUUAGCAUGGAAUAAUAGAAUAGGACGCGCGUCUUUAUUUUGUUGGUUUCUAAAUUCGCCGUAAUGAUUAAUAGGGAUAGUCGGGGGCAUUCGUAUUGCUUGGUCAGAGGUGAAAUUCUUGGAUUCUAGCAAGACGAACUACUGCGAAAGCAUUUGCCAAGGAUGUUUUCAUUGAUCAAGAACGAAGGUUAGGGGAUCGAAAACGAUCAGAUACCGUUGUAGUCUUAACAGUAAACUAUGCCGACUAGGGAUCGGACAAGCACAAUCUAUGACUUGUUCGGCACCUGAAGAGAAAUCUUUAAGUCUAGGUUCGGGGGGGAGUAUGGUCGCAAGGCUGAAACUUAAAGGAAUUGACGGAAGGGCACCACCAGGUGUGGAGCCUGCGGCUUAAUUUGACUCAACACGGGGAAACUCACCAGGUCCAGACACAAUAAGGAUUGACAGAUUGAUAGCUCUUUCUUGAUCUUGUGGUUGGUGGUGCAUGGCCGUUCUUAGUUGGUGGAGUGAUUUGUCUGGUUAAUUCCGAUAACGAACGAGACCUUAACCUGCUAAAUAGACCCGGGGGCCUUAGGGAACCGGCUGUCUUCUUAGAGGGACUGUAGG